rnacentral:rRNA from 1 species
GACGAACGCUGGCGGCGUGCUUAACACAUGCAAGUCGAACGGAAAGGCCCUGCUUUUGUGGGGUGCUCUAAUGGCGAACGGGUGAGUAAAACGUGAGUAACCUGCCCUUGACUUUGGGAUAACUUCAGGAAACUGGGGCUAAUACCGGAUAGGAGUUUCUGCUGCAUGGUGGGGGUUGGAAAGUUUCGGCGGUUGGGGAUGGACUCGCGGCUUAUCAGCUUGUUGGUGGGGUAGUGGCUUACCAAGGCUUUGACGGGUAGCCGGCCUGAGAGGGUGACCGGCCACAUUGGGACUGAGAUACGGCCCAGACUCCUACGUGAGGCAGCAGUGGGGAAUAUUGCACAAUGGGCGGAAGCCUGAUGCAGCAACGCCGCGUGCGGGAUGACGGCCUUCGGGUUGUAAACCGCUUUCGCCUGUGACGAAGCGUGAGUGACGGUAAUGGGUAAAGAAGCACCGGCUAACUACGUG